rnacentral:rRNA from 1 species
GUACGGGGGGGGCAAGCGUUGUUCGGAAUUACUGGGCGUAAAGGGCGCGUAGGCGGUCUACUAAGUUGGAUGUGAAAACUCUGGGGCUUAACCCAGAGCCUGCAUUCAAAACUGAUAGGCUGGAGUUCUGGAGGGGAUAGCGGAAUUCCUGGUGUAGCGGUGAAAUGCGUAGAUAUCAGGAGGAACACCGGUGGCGAAAGGCGGCUAUCUGGACCGGCAUUGACGCUGAGGCGCGAAAGCUAGGGGAGCAAACGGG